AGUUAAUUAACUUAUUUUAAAGUAUAUAUUUUGAAAAUAUAGUAAAGAUACUAAAAAAAUCUAUUAACUU
rnacentral:tRNA from 1 species